CUGGCGGCAUGCCUUACACAUGCAAGUCGAACGGCAGCACGGGAGCAAUCCUGGUGGCGAGUGGCGAACGGGUGAGUAAUAUAUCGGAACGUGCCCAGUCGUGGGGGAUAACGUAGCGAAAGCUACGCUAAUACCGCAUACGAUCUAUGGAUGAAAGCGGGGGAUCGCAAGACCUCGCGCGAUUGGAGCGGCCGAUAUCAGAUUAGGUAGUUGGUGAGGUAAAGGCUCACCAAGCCGACGAUCUGUAGCUGGUCUGAGAGGACGACCAGCCACACUGGGACUGAGACACGGCCCAGACUCCUACGGGAGGCAGCAGUGGGGAGUUUUGGACAAUGGGCGCAAGCCUGAUCCAGCAAUGCCGCGUGCAGGAUGAAGGCCUUCGGGUUGUAAACUGCUUUUGUACGGAACGAAACGGUGAGCUCUAAUACAGUUUGCUAAUGACGGUACCGUAAGAAUAAGCACCGGCUAACUACGUG
rnacentral:rRNA from 1 species